UAAACGUUGACAAAGAGGAGUUCAGGGGCAA
rnacentral:piRNA from 1 species